rnacentral:misc_RNA from 1 species
UCUUCUUCUUCCUCUUCUUCUUCCCUUGUUGGUUUUACUUCUGUAGCGACUGUAGUCUUGUUUUAUUUCUUUGUUUCACAUGACAACUUUGUAAAAAUUUCGUGUGAUCAUAUUUUCAAUGCUUUAAACCCUCCUCAUAAAAUCUUGAACGAAGAAAUGGGAAGGAAAACCUCAAGAAAAUUUGUGAUGGUUUUAAUUAAAAUGAUUAAUAUAUCAUAAAUUGUAUGAUAAUAAUAUUGUGAGUUAUCUCUUAUCUUUGGUAGGCAAAUACUAAUCCUAUCUUAUGUGGUAAAAAUUUACAAGUGUUAUAAUUUGAUACUUGCAGAGACCUUGGGAAUGCAAAACUGUU